GACAAACGCUGGCGGCAUGCCUAACACAUGCAAGUCGAACGGACAGAACAGGGAAGCUUUUCGGAGUGGAACUGGAAAGUUAGUGGCGGAUGGGUGAGUAACGCGUGGACAACCUACCUUGUAAAGGGGAAUAACCUCGAGAAAUCGAAGCUAAUACCCCAUAAUAACCUUGCUUCGCAUGAAGUAAGGAGGAAAGGCGGCCUUAGCGCUGUCGAUACAAGAUGGGUCCGCGUCUGAUUAGCUAGUUGGUGAGGUAAAGGCUCACCAAGGCGACGAUCAGUAGCCGGCCUGAGAGGGUGAACGGCCACAUUGGGACUGAGACACGGCCCAGACUCCUACGGGAGGCAGCAGUGGGGAAUCUUCCGCAAUGGGCGAAAGCCUGACGGAGCAAUGCCGCGUGAGUGAAGAAGGCCUUCGGGUUGUAAAACUCUGUCCUUAUCGAAGAGAGAGUGUUGUAGUAACUGACAAUACUAGGACGGUAGAUGAAGAGGAAGCCCCGGCUAACUAUGUG
rnacentral:rRNA from 1 species